rnacentral:misc_RNA from 1 species
GAUGAAGAACGUAGCGAAAUGCGAUACGUAGUGUGAAUUGCAGAAUUCCGUGAAUCAUCGAAUCUUUGAACGCAAAUUGUACUUUCCAGUAAUCUGGGAAGUAUGCUUGGUUGAGGGUCAUCGAAAUAACAUUCGUGAAUUUUUUUGCGGAUUUGAGUUUUCCAGUAUUAUUAUAAUAAAUAUGAUAAAUGUUGGUGACUUUAAAAUUAUUUAUAACUUGGUACAAGUUGAAAACGUGCUAUAUGUGUGGUUCGCUGACAACUUGUCCAUCUCUAUAUACUAUGCGCGCACUUGGUUUUUACACUCUGUGCGAACAUAUAUUUUUUUUUGACCUCAGCUCAAGCAAGAAUACCCGCUGAACUUAAGCAUAUCAAUAAGCGGAGGA